rnacentral:rRNA from 1 species
CUAUACAUGCAGUCGAGCGGACAGAUGGGAGCUUGCUCCCUGAUGUUAGCGGCGGACGGGUGAGUAACACGUGGGUAACCUGCCUGUAAGACUGGGAUAACUCCGGGAAACCGGGGCUAAUACCGGAUGGUUGUUUGAACCGCAUGGUUCAAACAUAAAAGGUGGCUUCGGCUACCACUUACAGAUGGACCCGCGGCGCAUUAGCUAGUUGGUGAGGUAACGGCUCACCAAGGCGACGAUGCGUAGCCGACCUGAGAGGGUGAUCGGCCACACUGGGACUGAGACACGGCCCAGACUCCUACGGGAGGCAGCAGUAGGGAAUCUUCCGCAAUGGACGAAAGUCUGACGGAGCAACGCCGCGUGAGUGAUGAAGGUUUUCGGAUCGUAAAGCUCUGUUGUUAGGGAAGAACAAGUACCGUUCGAAUAGGGCGGUACCUUGACGGUACCUAACCAGAAAGCCACGGCUAACUACGUGCCAGCAGCCGCGGUAAUACGUAGGUGGCAAGCGUUGUCCGGAAUUAUUGGGCGUAAAGGGCUCGCAGGCGGUUUCUUAAGUCUGAUGUGAAAGCCCCCGGCUCAACCGGGGAGGGUCAUUGGAAACUGGGGAACUUGAGUGCAGAAGAGGAGAGUGGAAUUCCACGUGUAGCGGUGAAAUGCGUAGAGAUGUGGAGGAACACCAGUGGCGAAGGCGACUCUCUGGUCUGUAACUGACGCUGAGGAGCGAAAGCGUGGGGAGCGAACAGGAUUAGAUACCCUGGUAGUCCACGCCGUAAACGAUGAGUGCUAAGUGUUUAGGGGGGUUUCCGCCCCUUAGUGCUGCAGCUAACGCAUUAAGCACUCCGCCUG